rnacentral:rRNA from 1 species
UACAGAGGGUGCAAACGUUGUUCGGAUUUACUGGGCGUAAAGCGCGUGUAGGCUGCUUCGCAAGUCGGAUGUGAAAGCCCUGGGCUCAACCCAGGAAGUGCAUUCGAAACUGCAGAGCUGGAGUCCUGGAGAGGAAGGCGGAAUUCUCGGUGUAGAGGUGAAAUUCGUAGAUAUCGAGAGGAACACCGGUGGCGAAGGCGGCCUUCUGGACAGUGACUGACGCUGAGACGCGAAAGCGUGGGGAGCAAGCAGG